CUGGUUUCCCCUAAGUUUCAGCAGAAAAAAAUAGGCAAGAUAAAAAUUGAGAGAUCAUUAUCCACUGAUUCUUCCCAGUCAUAAUAGGCUGCUUAGCUUUACCAGGUCAGAAGGGGCCUAGUAUGACAUAUAUAUAUAUUAAAGAAAGAAACAUAGAUGUACAUGUCAAAGACUGACAAGAAAAAAAAAAAAAAGGAAAAGAAAAUACAAUUCUUCUGACCUUAAGGUUAUAUACAACAUCAUAGGGCUGGAGAAAUGUCCCUGGACACCGCCUCCCAGAUGUUUCUUCAGACUCACAGCCAAGAAAACACUUGUGAGAGCCACAGGAGAUAUCACAUUAAUCUACUUUUAAUCAGACUCCUUUGUUGCUGAGUCUGUGCUUUUGGUGCGCAGUGUCCACCCCAGGUGUGCAUCUCUGGGGAGCACUGCACAUCCCACGCUGAGGGCUCAGCGACACGUGCAGAUGUGGAAGCAGAUACUUCUCUGAGACAGCCCUGGGGUGAAUGUGCAGCACUGCUAUAAGGAGGGGUUGGCAGGUGGUACCCACUGCGAUCAGCCUGGUCAUCUUCACAAAGACACCUCUUUCCCAGCAGUGAUGUCCUGCUGUCCCAAUGCCCUGUCCUGAGGUCUGGAUGUGGCAAUGGUCAGUACCUUCUGACGCACCUGAUCAUGUCUAAAACCUGAAAAAAUGGAUUUCCUUUCCUUCACAGAAAACCUCUUCCUGUUUCAACUUCCCUUGUGAGAGCUCCUUCCCAAAUAGCCAGCAUAGCUCUCCCUGCAAUAACUACACAGCACAGCUCAAGAAGAGAUUAACACAAAUCUGCUGAAAGUGAAUUCAGCCUCUCCUUUCAAUGGGAUCAUUGUAACACUGUUUGUUGCGUUACCUGAGCCAGACCUCAAGUUUCACAUAACAGAGAAAAAAACCACUGUAAUUCUUGGAGGACAGAUGCCAGGGAUCCAUCUGCCCUUUGCCUGUCCUUGUGCUGCCCUCCAUCCUAGAAGAGAUGACACAAGACCCAUGUGUUGAAAGCAAAGCCACAGCAGAGUGACUUUCAGGUGCUGUAUGAAGUUUGAGAGCUGUGAACUGUGCCCUUCCUAAUUCCCACACUAGCAAGAAGCAGCAUGACCUGAAUGUCCUCACGCCUCAGAGAUCAUCAGCCUGGCAUGACCUCUGGGAGCAUGCAAAACUGAAUGGAAUUUAGAGAAACCCAGAGUUUUCUCUAGGAUGUACCUCAGCAUUAACUCAAGGAGUAUGGAGAUAUUAAGAUGAUUUAAGGGAAAGAUGUUUUCUCUGUCCCAUCAGUUAUUCUGGACUCGCAGUUGAGACUCCUGCUGCAGAAUUCCAAAUCAGGGCAGUCGGUCCCAAUGCAGUGAUUUAUAACACAAAGGCAACAUACGUGCUAUUAAUAAAAACACCCUAUUUACAUUUCAUUGAGCUGCUGCAGGACAAUACCUUCACCAAAUACAGCAGGCAUCCUACAUUUCUGAUACCUCCUCUCCAACUAAUAGGAAAAUGUGAGAUAUGGGACAACACUAUUCUGAAGAGGACUAAAUCCUGGAGAAAAUAUUUGUGUUGCAACUAUAAAUGCAGAGAGAAAAGAAACACUCAGCUUUCUUCCAAACUUUAAUCCAGCUCUCCUCUUGGGAGUCCUCUCUACUUAUUCCUACUGGAAGCGAUGUGAGGGCUGCAUAGUGUAGGGAGGUCAAUAAAGAACUCAUUCCUCAUGAAGCUUCUGGUACCACCUAGAAAGAGAACUUUAUCACUGCUUUAGGAAGUCUGACUAAAUGUCCUUCAUAACUACAGCAUGAGAAGAAGCAUCACAAGAGCCUGUGAAAUACAACAAAUAUGGCAGGCUAAAUUAAUAAUCUUGAUGCUAGAAUAUGAAAUGACUUGUUUAAUAAAAUGUUCAGUGUCUGCUCCUUUA
ensembl:lncRNA